AGCCGCACUCUCUCUUACAGAGUCAUCAAAGUGCAGUGGCAAGACAAAGACCAGGACAAGUGGUGAUGGCCCAGGGUACAUGGAUGACCUUGGUGUUUUCAAUGUCUGAUCAAACCGUAAGCUCUCCAUGGUGCCUGCUUCAGCUGCCUUCAUGGCCACUGGAAUAAAAUUGUUCUCAUCUGCCCCUUAUAAGCUCUGCACCUAGGGUAGAAGGAGUUCUGUCUCAGGCUUCGUGUGCCGGUGGACCCUGAGGGACCUUCAUGUCUGGUGCUGUGCUGAGGGAAUGGAGUAGGGGAGUGGCUGGCACUGCUGGAGGCUGUAGGGGGUCACCCUGAAGCACAUGGAGGUCUAGCCACUGGAGGAUGCCUUGGACUGUGCUGAAGCAUUUGGUGGUUCUUCAAGCUGGAGUUUGCCAGUUCCCCUGGCUAUGCCAACGUAUGUGUGUGGGGGGGGAGGGUGAUUUUCAUGAACAUCUAAACCAA